rnacentral:rRNA from 1 species
GACGAACGCUGGCGGCGUGCUUAACACAUGCAAGUCGAACGAUGAAGCCGGAGCUUGCUCUGGUGAAUUAGUGGCGAACGGGUGAGUAACACGUGAGUAACCUGCCCUUGACUCUGGGAUAACUGCGGGAAACUGUAGCUAAUACCGGAUACGACCCUCGGAGGCAUCUCCUGGGGGUGGAAAGAAUUUCGGUCAAGGAUGGACUCGCGGCCUAUCAGCUAGUUGGUGUGGUAAAGGCUCACCAAGGCGACGACGGGUAGCCGGCCUGAGAGGGGGACCGGCCACACUGGGACUGAGACACGGCCCAGACUCCUACGGGAGGCAGCAGUGGGGAAUAUUGCACAAUGGGCGCAAGCCUGAUGCAGCAACGCCGCGUGAGGGAUGACGGCCUUCGGGUUGUAAACCUCUUUUAGUAGGGAAGAAGCGAAAGUGACGGUACCUGCAGAAAAAGCACCGGCUAACUACGUGCCAGCCGCCGCAGUAA